rnacentral:lncRNA from 1 species
AUUUAUUUAUUUAUUCAUUCAUUCAUUCUGAAGACUGAGUUACAGGGCUUUGAGUACCUACCAUCUAGAACUGUUGCAGGGAAAAAGUGUUUUCAGAGACUUCUGAAUCGACUGGUAUUCACAGUACAGGGAGUUCUGAAUCAACUGGUAUUCACAGUACAGCAGUGAAUGUUUCAAAUAAGUGCUUUGGGUUAGUCACCUACCACACCACAAAAUCCUUUUAUUUGAUAUAAUAUAAAAAACAGAAGCAAAAACAACAAGGAAAGGAUGUUAAUAGUGAUACAGGCUGAGAGAAAUGUUUUUGUUAUUACAGGACUGGAGGUAGAUUUGGAUACUGGCAUCCUGUCUGGAAGCUUGUGCUGUCAACUGGCUAACUGGCUAACUGAAUUCAGAGUAGAAUAGGUGUAUUUUCAUCAUACAAAGAUGAGCAGUCAUCGAACACCAAUAAGCACUUUCACUGGACUCUCGAAAAGCCACCACAGAAGGGUAGCAUGGGGGAGAGAAUGGUACUUGGAAGGAAGGACGAUGACGGGAGAGCAGAAAGAGGAGGUGAGGAGGCAGCAGGAAGAGUGGAGUUGGGGAAGAGAGAAAUGCAUCAUGGCAUGACACUUCUCCAACUAAAUUGUUAUUCUGUUGUUUUCACUAAAAAAAAACAAACAAACAAGUAACAAACAAAAAGCACAAAGAUCCACUGAAAAAUCUUCAAAGAGUACAUGGGCUCAUACUGGAAGAAAGGGGUAAGUAAAUAGCUACAUGACUGAGAAGCACAUAAUACUUGUAUUCUGUGCAGAAAUGAAUUAUAUUUCUUUCCAUUUCUCUAUAAUUGUACAUUUACUUCUUCUUCUGAGCAGAGUAAUAUUCUUUUUAACUAAUAUUUACAGAUCAUUUUCAGAAAGUUUUU